rnacentral:rRNA from 1 species
GCCGGAUGCUCCAGUUGACCGCAUGGUCCUCUGGGAAAGAUUCAUCGGUAUGGGAUGGGGUCGCGUCCUAUCAGCUUGAUGGCGGGGUAACGGCCCACCAUGGCUUCGACGGGUAGCCGGCCUGAGAGGGCGACCGGCCACAUUGGGACUGAGAUACGGCCCAGACUCCUACGGGAGGCAGCAGUGGGGAAUAUUGCACAAUGGGCGCAAGCCUGAUGCAGCGACGCCGCGUGCGGGAUGACGGCCUUCGGGUUGUAAACCGCUUUUGACUGGGAGCAAGCCCUUCGGGGUGAGUGUACCUUUCGAAUAAGCACCGGCUAACUACGUGCCAGCAGCCGCGGUAAUACGUAGGGUGCAAGCGUUAUCCGGAAUUAUUGGGCGUAAAGGGCUCGUAGGCGGUUCGUCGCGUCCGGUGUGAAAGUCCAUCGCUUAACGGUGGAUCCGCGCCGGGUACGGGCGGGCUUGAGUGCGGUAGGGGAGACUGGAAUUCCCGGUGUAACGGUGGAAUGUGUAGAUAUCGGAA